UACAGAGGGGGCAAGCGUUGUUCGGAAUUACUGGGCGUAAAGGGCGCGUAGGCGGCCUUCUAAGUCGAACGUGAAAUCCCCGGGCUCAACCCGGGAACUGCGUCCGAUACUGGAAGGCUUGAAUCCGGGAGAGGGAUGCAGAAUUCCAGGUGUAGCGGUGAAAUGCGUAGAUAUCUGGAGGAACACCGGUGGCGAAGGCGGCAUCCUGGACCGGCAUUGACGCUGAGGCGCGAAAGCCAGGGGAGCAAACGGG
rnacentral:rRNA from 1 species